GACUCUCGGCAACGGAUAUCUCGGCUCACGCAUCGAUGAAGAACGUAGCAAAAUGCGAUACUUGGUGUGAAUUGCAGAAUCCCGUGAACCAUCGAGUUUUUGAACGCAAGUUGCGCCCGAAGCCAUUCGGUUGAGGGCACGUCUGCCUGGGCGUAC
rnacentral:rRNA from 11 species